rnacentral:rRNA from 1 species
AUAUGAUUUUCAUCUGUUUAACAAAAACAUUGUUUCUUGUAGUUGAUUUGAGAUAAUGUCUGCCCACUGAGAAGUUAAAGGGCUGCAGUAUACUGACUGUACAAAGGUAGCAUAAUAAAUAGUUUCUUAAUUGGGAGCUGGAAUGAAAGGCUUAAUGAGAGAUCUGCUGUCUUAUUUGAAGAAUUAGAAUUUAAUUUUUGGGUAAAAAUGCCUAAAUGUGUGAGUGGGACGAGAAGACCCUGUAGAAUUUUAUUUUAUUAUGUGGUUAGUUAAAUUUGAGUUUGGGAGGAAAUAUAUGAAGUAAAAUUUAAUUGGGGUGAUUAAAAAAUAAUUAACUUUUAUUUAUUAAUAUUAAAUAUAAGUAUAUAUUUGAUCCAUGAUGGAUGAUUGUAAGAUAAAUUACCUCAGGGAUAACAGCGUAAUUUAUUCGGAUAGUUCAUAUAGAUGAAUAAGAUUGCGACCUCGAUGUUGAAUUAGAAUUAUUUUUGGUGUAGCUGCUAUAGUGAUGAAGUCUGUUCGACUUGGAUUUUUUACAUGAUUUGAGUUCAGACCGGUGUGAGCCAGGUUGGUUUCUAUCUACUUAAUUGAAAAUAUUUUAGUACGAA